CCCGCCCCUCGGCUGGGGUUCGGCCGCGCUCUUCAGCCGCGGGGCGCCUCCCAAGCUUGCCGGCGCGUCGGAGCCCGGCGGUCGGGAUCGGUGGCCCCGCGCGGCAGGUCUGGGGGGACCUGAGAGUUUCGUUUUUUCUCCGUCCCCAGGUGACGCGAAUGCUGGUUGGGAACACACUCUGAGGACCAUUAAGAGUCUCUAAAUAGGUCGCCUCCACUCGUGGGGGUUGACCAUGCCUUCUCGGGAAUGUGAAACAAGAAGCCGUCAACGAGGCACCCCGCGGGGCCGCGCGUCCCCGCCGCGCGCCGGCAUUGUCGCCGCAGGCCCGCAGGACUGCUUCUUCACCCUUUUGAAGAAGCCCGUUCUGCGAAAGGAGGAUAAAACUUGAAAAAGCUCUGUUCAGAAGCUGGGUGGGUUGGGGGGCAGUAUAUGAGUGACUGCUAUGUAUUUUAACUACCAGAUUUUUUAAUAUUUGCCACUGUUAAAUAGUCGGUUAGGGAAAGUUCUGAUUAAGCUAACGUGGUGUUACCCUCGCAGCUUAUUUCAGAACAAGUCUGAUAUCUCAGAUUCCUCCUUCUUGGCUUCAUACUCUGAGCUGUUACUGUGCGUUUUUCUGUAUGGACCUGCUUAUGUGCACAAUACAUCCACAUCUUUUUGUUGUUGUUGUUUGUUUUUAUAAGAAGAAGCAAUCAAGAAAGAUAAUGUGAAAAAGAAAGGAACUUAGAGGUAGGGGAAAGAAUGUCAGACACUUGAAUAACUGUAGGAAAAUGAUAAAUACUUUAAAUAAACUUGAGAAAAUUUUCUUGACAUGCAAAUGAGGUAGUUCUGAUCUUUGAGAUAGUGACUAGAAGUACCAUCUGUUUCCGCGAUGGUCGCCAACCGGGAUGAAGUGUGGGAUGUAGUGGGAUUCCGGAACGGCACUUCCAGUCCAGUGAGUCCAUGACCCGCGGACCUGCCCCUGGAAUAGCUUCUACUGUGGAAGUAGGACAGGUGAUCUUCUGAGCCGUUGACUGAACUGGCAAAAACAACUGUUACAGAUUGGAAUUUCAUCUUGUAAGUAGGAAAUGAACGAAAUAAAGACUCAUCCUGAGAGGAGAAAAAAAAAGCCCGUCCUACACUGUCUGCAGAAUUCAGCGCGCGCUGAAAUGCGACUCGCGUGGCCGAGCCCGCAGGGGCAGCUUCCGCCGGCCUGGCGCGGUCGCGUUUCCAGGGAGACGCCCGGAGGAGGCCGGCCUCCCGCCCUGGCAGGGCGCCACGGCGUUGCUGAGGGUGCCAGAGCAACCUGGCUUCAGCCGAAGAGCAGAACGAAAUGCUUCAGGUUACCGGUACAGAUUGAAACCCCGGUGGCACCUGCCACGGUCUACAGCUUCACGCACUGCCCCGCAGCACAAAGGCGUCCGUGGGACACCAAGGCCUGUGAUGGCACUUAGCUAUCCCAGAGUCCUAAUAGCCAGGUUCCUCCACCCAGUCCCACACAGCGAUUGUGCUCAGAAUCCUAACAGCAACAGCCACUGGGCCGAGGUGGCGCCAGUGAGGAGGGCAUAGCCGCGGUGCCUGGCCUCAGAGGCACGGCAGGAGAAGCGCGUCCUUCUGCGCCCUAUGCACUCUAAGCUUCCCACGACAUAAGGGUGCCAGGCAAUGGCUUGGGCUCAUCCUCCUGCAAUCCCUCCCGGGCUGUUGUGAGUCUCCCCACAUCAGCACAUCCUAGUGAGGGUUGGCAGGGAGCAGUGCUCGAGCACCUGGACAGCGGCCAUGCAGUGUGGAGCUGGACGUGCUGUGCAGAAGCAGAACCUGUGGGCUUCUGCUUCCCAAGCCUCACAGGUGAAAGACAAAAAUAAAUAAACAAAUAAAACUCUCAA